rnacentral:rRNA from 1 species
GACCCCAGGUCAGGCGGGACUACCCGYUGAAUUUAAGCAUAUCAAUAA